GAUGAACGCUGGCGGCGUGCCUAAUACAUGCAAGUCGAGCGAACAGACGAGGAGCUUGCUCCUCUGACGUUAGCGGCGGACGGGUGAGUAACACGUGGAUAACCUACCUAUAAGACUGGGAUAACUUCGGGAAACCGGAGCUAAUACCGGAUAACAUGUUGAACCGCAUGGUUCAACAGUGAAAGACGGUCUUGCUGUCACUUAUAGAUGGAUCCGCGCCGCAUUAGCUAGUUGGUAAGGUAACGGCUUACCAAGGCAACGAUGCGUAGCCAACCUGAGAGGGUGAUCGGCCACACUGGAACUGAGACACGGUCCAGACUCCUACGGGAGGCAGCAGUAGGGAAUCUUCCGCAAUGGGCGAAAGCCUGACGGAGCAACGCCGCGUGAGUGAAGAAGGUCUUCGGAUCGUAAAACUCUGUUAUUAGGGAAGAACAAAUGUGUAAGUAACUAUGCACGUCUUGACGGUACCUAAUCAGAAAGCCACGGCUAACUACGUG
rnacentral:rRNA from 1 species